rnacentral:rRNA from 1 species
GAUGAACGCUGGCGGCGUGCUUAACACAUGCAAGUCGAACGGUGAACACGGAGCUUGCUCUGUGGGAUCAGUGGCGAACGGGUGAGUAACACGUGAGCAACCUGCCCCUGACUCUGGGAUAAGCGCUGGAAACGGCGUCUAAUACUGGAUAUGUGACGUGACCGCAUGGUCUGCGUUUGGAAAGAUUUUUCGGUUGGGGAUGGGCUCGCGGCCUAUCAGCUUGUUGGUGAGGUAAUGGCUCACCAAGGCGUCGACGGGUAGCCGGCCUGAGAGGGUGACCGGCCACACUGGGACUGAGACACGGCCCAGACUCCUACGGGAGGCAGCAGUGGGGAAUAUUGCACAAUGGGCGCAAGCCUGAUGCAGCAACGCCGCGUGAGGGAUGACGGCCUUCGGGUUGUAAACCUCUUUUAGCAGGGAAGAAGCGAAAGUGACGGUACCUGCAGAAAAAGCGCCGGCUAACUACG